rnacentral:lncRNA from 1 species
UUUAUUUAUUUUUAAGAGUCAGAGAAAGACAGAGCGUGAGCAGGGGAGGGGCAGAGAGAGAAGGAGACACAGAAUCUGAAGCAGGCUCCAGGCUCUGAACUGUCAGCACAGAACCUGAUGCGAGGCUUGAACCCACGAACCCUGAGAUCAUGACCUGAGCCGAAGUCGGAUGCUUAACCGACUGAGCCACCCAGGUGCCCCUAAUCAUGUAUGCUUCUAAAUUCUGGCUUUGUUGCAUAGAAAAGUAUCUGAUACCACUUGUUAAAAUCUGACAGACUGAUUUUUUUGUUGUGACUAGAUUUCAAAGUGUUACUUCUUCUGGAUAUCUGGUUUUUAUGCCUUUUCUCUCUUAAAGUAGAAUGUAGUUCUUACUCCGUCAACAUAAUUUCAGAAAUUAGUAAGCAUUCCACAUUUAGUGCAGUUUAUCUUUACAUUUUCCAUUCAUACUACACAGCUUAACAGAUUUUGUGGAGGUCCUGCAACUAGAUGCUACUGUAACAAGCCAUGGUUCCCACUCUUAAAAGAACUCAUGCUUUUCUGCAGAAGAUGGAUAUGCAAAAGGGAUAGUCAGUCAGGCAGAAGUUUGUAGGAUGGCUUCCAGUUUCCUUCGGAAGUAGUUUGACCUACAUGGAGACCUUUGUAAUGACCAAGGAAAGAAAUAAGGGCCUGAUAUAUGUUAGUACUAAUGAUGAUGAUCUGGCAAAUUGAGGGUGUUUUAAGAAGGAAUUAACCUAAGAACCUACUGAGCUAAUGGGUGUGGGUGAAGGGGAGAAACUGAAUUAUUUAGGGAGAAAGAAGGAUGACGAUUCUGAUUUGGGGCUGAGAUUCCUGUAAAAUGCAUAGAUGGAAAUGUUGGCUUAUAGGUGUGGAAUUCAGUGGAGAAGUUUGGGCUAGACAUAUAAAUAUUGGGAGCUGUGACCAGGAAAGGUAGAAUUAUAAUAGAAGCGGACCAGGAGCAGAACUGUGAAGAUACCAACGCUCUUUGGGGAGAAAGAGGGCACAAGACCAUCGGAGACUGAGAAGAAGCGAGAGAGCCUGGAGUGGGGGGAGCACUAUCAUCAAAAUGUUCAAGGAGGAAGUGGUCCUCUGACUAACAGUACUAGAAACUCUGAAUAGCGUAUCCUUGGAAGGAAAAACACUACCAGUGCAUAUACCUACUCGCUUUUUUAGUCUCUCAUUUUAUUGCUUUGACUGCUCAUGCCUAACCUUGCACAUUGUUGUUAAACAAUAACUGACAAACAAUGUUAAUGAUGCCUGUAAAACCAGAGAACAUAGAGUUUUCUCACAAAUAAAAAAAGGCAUUUUCUUCA